GGGGAUUUAGCUCAGUGGCAUAAGCACCUGCCUUGCAAACAGGCGGUCGUUGAGUUCGAUCCCCA
rnacentral:tRNA from 1 species